GAUGAACGCUGGCGGCGUGCUUAACACAUGCAAGUCGAACGAAGCACUUUUGAUUCUUCGGAAGAGGAAGUGACUGAGUGGCGGACGGGUGAGUAACGCGUGGGUAACCUGCCUUAUACAGGGGGAUAACAGUUAGAAAUGACUGCUAAUACCGCAUAAGCCGAUAGAGUCGCAUGACUCAGUCGGAAAAGAUUUAUCGGUAUAAGAUGGACCCGCGUCUGAUUAGCUAGUUGGUGAGGUAAUGGCCCACCAAGGCGACGAGCAGUAGCCGGCUUGAGGGAGUGAACGGCCGCAUUGGGACUGAGACACGGCCCAAACUCCUACGGGAGGCAGCAGUGGGGAAUAUUGCACAAUGGGGGAAACCCUGAUGCAGCAACGCCGCGUGAAGGAAGAAGUAUUUCGGUAUGUAAACUUCUAUCAGCAGGGAAGAAAAUGACGGUACCUGACUAAGAAGCCCCGGCUAACUACGUGCCAGCAGCCGCCGUAA
rnacentral:rRNA from 1 species